UACAGAGGUCUCAAGCGUUGUUCGGAUUCAUUGGGCGUAAAGGGUGUGUAGGUGGCGCGCUAAGUCGGGUGUGAAAUUUCGGAGCUUAACUCCGAAACUGCAUUCGAUACUGUCGGGCUUGAGUACGGAAGAGGCGAGUGGAAUUCCUGGUGUAGCGGUGAAAUGCGCAGAUAUCAGGAGGAACACCAAUUGCGAAGGCAGCUCGCUGGGACGUUACUGACGCUGAGACGCGAAAGCGUGGGGAGCAAACAGG
rnacentral:rRNA from 1 species